rnacentral:rRNA from 1 species
CCCUACGGGGCGCAGCAGUGGGGAAUAUUGCACAAUGGGGGAAACCCUGAUGCAGCAACGCCGCGUGAGGGAAGACGGCCCUAUGGGUUGUAAACCUCUUUUGUCGGAGAACAAAACCCGGGACGUGUCCCGGACUGCGUGUAUCCGAAGAAAAAGCAUCGGCUAACUCCGUGCCAGCAGCCGCGGUAAUACGGAGGAUGCGAGCGUUAUCCGGAUUUAUUGGGUUUAAAGGGUGCGUAGGCGGUCCGUUAAGUCAGCGGUAAAAUUGCGGGGCUCAACCCCGUCGAGCCGUUGAAACUGGCAGA